UACGUAGGGUGCGAGCGUUAAUCGGAAUUACUGGGCGUAAAGCGUGCGCAGGCGGUGAUGUAAGACAGUUGUGAAAUCCCCGGGCUCAACCUGGGAAUUGCAUCUGUGACUGCAUCGCUAGAGUACGGUAGAGGGGGAUGGAAUUCCGCGUGUAGCAGUGAAAUGCGUAGAUAUGCGGAGGAACACCGAUGCGAAGGCAAUCCCUGGACCUGUACUCGACACUGAGGCACGAAAGCGUGGGGAGCAAACAGG
rnacentral:rRNA from 1 species